GAUGAACGCUGGCGGCGUGCCUAAUACAUGCAAGUCGAGCGAACAGAUAAGGAGCUUGCUCCUUUGAAGUUAGCGGCGGACGGGUGAGUAACACGUGGGUAACCUACCUAUAAGACUGGGAUAACUUCGGGAAACCGGAGCUAAUACCGGAUAACAUUUAGAACCGCAUGGUUCUAAAGUGAAAGAUGGUUUUGCUAUCACUUAUAGAUGGACCCGCGCCGUAUUAGCUAGUUGGUAAGGUAACGGCUUACCAAGGCGACGAUACGUAGCCGACCUGAGAGGGUGAUCGGCCACACUGAAACUGAGACACGGUCCAGACUCCUACGGGAGGCAGCAGUAGGGAAUCUUCCGCAAUGGGCGAAAGCCUGACGGAGCAACGCCGCGUGAGUGAUGAAGGGUUUCGGCUCGUAAAACUCUGUUAUUAGGGAAGAACAAAUGUGCAAGUAACUGUGCACAUCUUGACGGUACCUAAUCAGAAAGCCACGGCUAACUACGUGCCAGCAGCCGCCGUAA
rnacentral:rRNA from 1 species